rnacentral:rRNA from 1 species
AGCGAACGCUGGCGGCAGGCCUAACACAUGCAAGUCGAACGAACUCUUCGGAGUUAGUGGCGGACGGGUGAGUAACACGUGGGAACGUGCCUUUAGGUUCGGAAUAACUCAGGGAAACUUGUGCUAAAUACCGAAUGUGCCCUUGGGGGAAAGAUUUAUCGCCUUUAGAGCGGCCCGCGUCUGAUUAGCUAGUUGGUGAGGUAAAGGCUCACCAAGGCUACGAUCAGUAGCUGGUCUGAGAGGAUGACCAGCCACAUUGGGACUGAGACACGGCCCAAACUCCUACGGGAGGCAGCAGUGGGGAAUCUUGCGCAAUGGGCGAAAGCCUGACGCAGCCAUGCCGCGUGGAUGAUGAACGGGUCUUAGGAUUGUAAAAUCCUUUCACCGGUGAAGAUAAUCGAUGUAGCCGGAGAAGAAGCCCGGCUAACUUCGNGUCCAGCAGACG